AGAGUUUGAUCAUGGCUCAGAACGUACGCUGGCGGCACGCCUUAUACAUGCAAGUCGAACGCAGUAGCAAUACUGAGUGGCAGACGGGUGAGUAUAAUGUGGGAAUCUGCCUUUUGGUUUGGAAUAACUCGGGGAAACCUGAGCUAAUACUGGAUAAGCCCUUACGGGGAAAGCUUUACGCGCCAAAAGAUGAGCCCGCACUUGAUUAGCUUGUUGGUGAGGUAAAAGCUUACCAAGGCUACGAUCAAUAGCUGAUCUGAGAGGAUGAUCAGCCACAUUGGGACUGAGACACGGCCCAAACUCCUACGGGAGGCAGCAGUAGGGAAUCUUGCACAAUGGGGGAAACCCUGAUGCAGCGAUGCCGCGUGAGUGAAGAAGGCCCUUGGGUUGUAAAGCUCUUUCGUCGGGGAAGAAAAUGACUGUACCCGAAUAAGAAGGUCCGGCUAACUUCGUGCCAGCAGCCGCGGU
rnacentral:rRNA from 1 species